rnacentral:rRNA from 1 species
AUGGAAGCGGCUGUGGUGAAUGUGGCCACAGGGGUCCUCAAACCUGUCCUGGGGAAGUUGGCCGCUCUGCUCGGUGAGGAGUACAAGCGUUUCAAGGGUGUGCACGAGGACAUCAGGUUCCUCAUAGAAGAACUUGAGGCCAUGCACACGCUUCUCCUCAAAAUAUCAGAGGAGGAAGAGCCUGAUGCGCAAGAUAAAGUUUGGGCGGUGGCAGUGAGGGAGCUCUCCUACAACAUGGAAGACACCAUCGAUGACUUCAUGCAAAGUAUCAAUGACAAAGACACUAAGCCAGAUGGCUUCAUUGAGAAGAUCAAGCACUCACUAGGGAAGUUGGGGAAGAUGAAGGCUCGGCGUCGGAUCGGCAGCGAGAUCAAAGAUUUAAAGAAACAAAUCCUUGAGGUGAGCGAGAGGAAUGAAAGGUACAAGACACAUGGGAUCUUCUCCAACACCAGAAAUGCGUCGGUUGAUGCUAGAGCUCUUGCUAUCCUUGAGGAUGCCUCCAAAUUUGUGGGUAUUGAAGAACCCAAGGCUGAUAUAAUUAAGUUGUUGACUGAAGGUGCAUCAACAGAUGAGCAACCAAAGUUGGUCUCCAUCGUAGGAUCCGGAGGAAUGGGAAAAACAACUCUUGCAAACCAAGUGUAUCAAGAGCUCAAAGAGAAUUUCAAGUGUAAGGCUUUCAUAUCGGUGUCGCGAAAUCCAGACUUGAUGAAUAUCAUGAGAACUAUUCAUAGUCAAGUUAGUGGUCUACCUUUUGCUGACACCAAAGCAGGUAGCACACAACAAGUCGUCAUGAAUGCACACAACAAGUCGGAUAUUGAAUUCUUGUGCAGGUAUUUUGUUGUCGUUGAUGAUAUAUGGAAUGUGAAGGCAUGGGAUAUUAUUAAGUUUGCAUUCCCCAUGACCAGUUCUGGCAGCAUCAUAAUCACCACUACUCGUAUAAACGAAGUUGCUGAAUCAUGUCGUUCAUCUUUCAGUGGCAAUAUUUAUGGCAUAAAGCCUCUUAAUAUGGUGCAUUCAAGAGAGCUAUUUCACAGAAGACUAUUCGACUCCAGGGAAAAUUGUCCUCCAUAUCUUGAAGAAAUUUCUGAUCAAAUAUUGAAAAAAUGUGACGGGUUACCAUUGGUAAUCAUUGCUAUAUCUGGUUUGUUGGCUAACACAGAAAGAACAGAGUACAUGUGGAACCAAGUGAAAGGUUCAAUUGGACGUGCACUUCAAAGAAACCCAACCGUUGAAGGAAUGAUGAAUAUAUUGCCACUUAGUUAUUUUGACCUGCUUUCUCAUCUUAAGACAUGUCUCUUAUAUGCCAGUAUAUUUCCGGAAGAUUCUAAUAUUUAUAGGACUGAUCUGAUAAAGAGGUGGAUAGGUGAAGGAUUCAUUCAUAAACAAGUCGGAUGUACAGUACAUGAGACAGGGGAAAUGUAUUUUAGUGAGCUCCUCAAUAGGGGUUUGAUCCUACCUGGGCACACAAAUGAAUAUGGUGAAGUGGAGACUUGCCGAGUUCAUGACAUAAUUCUUGAUUUCAUCAUAUCCAAAUCCAAAGAAGAGAACUUUGUUACUUUCCUUGGUACUACCAUUCCGAUAACUGGGACAGAAAGCAAAGUUAUUCGUCGAUUAUCUCUACAAGGCGUCAAACAAGAAAAUCCAACAAUACCGACAGAAGGUCUGGAUUUUUCCCGUGUACGAUCCGUGUCUGGAGCUUUCGUGGAAUUGCCUUCUUUGGAGAAGCUUAGGCAUCUGCGCGUUCUCCACUUAGACGAUUUCCAAGGAUGGGGAGGACAAAAUCUUGAAAGGAUAGUGAAGUUGUUCCAGUUGAGGUACCUGAGCUACAGACAUGGAGGAAUAAGAGAGCUCCCAGAAAACAUCGGGCGUUUAGGGUGCUUAAAGAUACUGGACAUAAGAGAAACUGGUGUACAGGAAUUACCUGCAUCCAUGCAUUGUUAA